ACUUAGUGUUCUACCAGAAUGGAAAGUGGCGUCAUCUGUUGACCAAAAAAAAAAAAAUAUGGUCCGAAGAAUUUCUACCGAUAACUUUACUAAAAGAUUGUCUACUAUAUAGUAUCACGUCGAUGUGGCUGUCGAUAGGUGGACUGGACAUCAGGCCGAUUUAUGUCGACACCGUUAAAAAUGCUGUGGAGCGCCGAUAACCGUAUCCCGAUUUUUUAAAUAUUUAAAUUUUAUGUUUUGAUCGAUCGGAGGCGUCCAUCCACUUUCUUCAGCUGGACUCCAUCGCUUCCAACCCCACGGAUUCGGAACCCGUUCCAAUGCCGGUAACUUUGUUUCCUAACCCAUGCCGUCGAUAAUUACCUGGCGGCGUUUAAUUUUAAUUCAGCCCGUUAAAAUAAAGGACUGAAUUACGCUUAGAGUCGGCAUUGGCAGGCCGAAGUCGGUGUUACAUUUUUUCUUCUCAGCCGAUAGAAAAGUAGGGAUUUUCUUUAGAAUUUUUGGAUAUGUCUUCAUAUCUUUAAAAACCGAAAAAUAUAUUUUCCCGUAUAGAUACGAUUUAUUUACGCUAUCUUUAGUUUAGGCCGUAUCAAUUUUUGAUACUAAUGCCACCGGGGGACGAAUCUGGGUGGAACCCGAGUUUUCUUUUCUGGUAGCGCCAUCUCUUAUUGAAAAAGGAAAUUAUUCCGAGACGUAUUCCGGUGCAUUUAAUAAUAAUUUAUCGGAUCGAUUUGGAGGACGUCGGAUGAGAAAAGAGUUUAAAACACGGACUCCGUUUAUCCAUGAAAAAGUUUGGACUCCGACAGAAUUUCUAGAAACCGCGGCCCUCCGCUAUCGGCCACUUUUCUACUUAUCGACAGUCAGGAUGGAAUGCGACUACGGAAGAGGCGGUAGAGUCUGGCACUGUCCGUUGGUCCUAGAUGCGGCCAUUCGUCGAACUAUGUAUAAUCUGCGGGCAAACUAGUAAAAAAUAAAUGCCGAGUAUCCCGGGAAUUAGUCGUUUCUUAGUUGGAGAAUCGAAGCUGAGAUUUGCCCAGUGAAGGUUUUUGGUAGGAUUGUCCAUCCACCUCCAUCUUCCCAUCGUCUAAAUUUAGGACUAAAUGAUGGCCAAAAUUACUGGGCCAUUUAGCGUCGGUUGUAACCGAUAUUGUUUGGGGGAAUUAAUCACCGACCCCGAGUCGUAUUUUGUCUUUAUUCAGUUUUCUGAAGGAUCAUCUAAAACCACACAAUUCUUCAGCCUUAUGGGAUAAACUUUUAGUCGGACCAAAGCUAUGGUAUAAAAUAGGAAAUUGUUAAUUUCGUAUGUAUAUAUCAUAAUUUUGUCGUUGGAUAGAUCAUCGAUCCGUCCGUCUCAGCCCGGUAAAUUAACAUCUCUUAAUCAAACCUAUGUACAGUAUAGUCCGCCAUUAAAUCGACGUCGAAGAAUUUAGAGAAGGCGUAACAAAACUUGUCGGUCCCCAACGCCGUUUUCCAUCCGGUGGGUACUAAUCGGCGGGGCCAAGAGUGGUCUAUCACCAGCGCCCUCCGCCCUACCACGGUGACGCCCGUCUAGUAAAGGACGGGAUUGAACCGACCCAGCCCGAAAAAUUUGGAGAUUUUUUCCGUGAAGGAACUGGGAUCUUCCGGAGUAGAAACGCGGUUCCAUCGGCAUCAAACUCCCGUCAUCGAUGUAAAUCGAAAGUAUUCCUCACCUUUAAAUAAAACUUUCCGCCCGCUAUCCGACCAUGGGUGGUAGAGAAAAUUCUAGAAAAAUUUAUCCGAUAAUAUUGUUUCGAUUUAGGCCAUAAAUGGGUCGGAAUUCCAGAGAGUACGAGGUUUCUCCAGUCGUCUAAGUCGGAUACUAUAGUUUCCGAAUCAAACAGUAGGCGGCGGAAGAGUGUAACUUUUCGAUAAUCAUCCAUUUCGAUAAAAAUUUAGAUAACUGUAUUAACCAAGAUACAAAGAAACGACAGUGAAAGGUUUCCGGUAUCUGAAUCUUACCGGGCUACGCGGAUUCCGAGUGUAUCUCAGUAAGGCGUAACGUUUUUCCACGGAAUUCGAACGAUUGAAAGUCAUGGUAAGUGAUUUUCGUGUCUCGAGUUUGAUAGUUUCGGUUAGGCCUCAGAAUUCGGUGGGAGAGGCGACCAGCGCAGACACUUUUACGGCCACCCCAGAUCGAGAGGACGAACGGAAAACGGAGAUACGGAAGGAGUCGAACCCGGUCCUCCGAAAACGCAGCCAUGGCUCGACUGGCUGCGUUUUCGGAUGGCCGUGCCGGCAGCUUUGGCGUCUGGGAAUUACCAUUUCCAAACUUUUGGUGGCCGGCGCGCUUUCGAGAUAAAAAUCGUCAGUAGCAAAUCUUGUAUGGAUAUAAAAUAUCUAUAAUGUGGAAUCUGGACAAUUUUAGCGUUUGUAUAGAGAUACUAAUCGAGUCAGGCCCUCUACCAGUUUAGACUUAAUUUUAUAAUAAUUUUCUCACUUCCUGCAUCUAAUAAUAUAAAAGUAAUGGUUAGUUGCAUCUAAGCCCAUAUAAAAUACAACAGACGGUUACUCUCGUUUCCGAACGGAUGGGCCGCGCCACGGAGGGUGGUUCGAUCCGUCACUAGUGGCUUUAAUCCGAGUGGCUGGAGCAGACUCCGUUCCCAUAUCCGGUUUGGUGGUGGUUGGGGCCACUUCACCCACCGGGUGGUCGACGAAACUAGUGACCCGUCUCCGCGCUCGGUUACCGGCCACGUUCCCUAUGGCCGCGGGAACCGUAAAUAGUAUAAAUAUAAAGGUACAGAUAGCCAGAGAGACGAUGCCGACCGCGGGUGCCACCGGCUGGUUGUUUGGUCCAAAGAGAUAUAGAAUAAAAAGGCACGCUUCCUAUUCAGCCUAGGCGACAAGAGAAAUAAACCGGCCACUCAACUGGCUGAUCUUUAUAUAUAGCGCCACAACCGGUAGAUAAAUGAACUAACCAUAAAUGGGUAGUUCGAACAUCACAGAACUAAUUUCAUUGGCUAAACGGAUGAGGCCAUUAAUUUUCUUUCAUUUAUCUGUGGUUGGAAGCCGCGGUAUGACCAUUGUUUCCCAAAAUAGUGGCCAGUGUCCUCUCUUAGUCUAUAUCUGUUCGAUUCGGUCGGCUCAGCCACCGGUAUUUAAACGUGUAUUUAUCGGCUAUUUGUGAUGCAAGGUCCGGUCGAAGAGAAGUUUUCCUCACUAAUUGUAAAAAAUGCGGAAGAUUUAUUUAGUAUAACGGAACAGAAACCAUUUUUAUACUACAUUUGGUACCAUAUCGGCCGAUGACGCGCGGCUGAUAUAUAGGAAGUGGAAGGGCGACAGCUCGGCCGGACGCCCGAAUUGUCGCCACCAGGCGGGAGGGCAUCUUCCGAAAGUUUUUCGAGGUUCCAGGCCCGGUCCCGUCCUUUACCAUCGGUUCCUUCGCGGCUAUGGAUGCACCUGGUGGUUGGAAGUAGCCCGGACUCUUAGUAAUCUGCCCGUUUGAAAAAGGGCGUAAAAAUGCGAAGACAAAAAACGAAACGGAACCGGUUGUGGAAGUUUCCGGCGGGCCGAGUGGCGCGAGUGACUAUCCGGUGGCGCUUAGAGUGUGGCGGUGGAAGGCCACCCGACGGGGAGCGGUAAGAUCCGCUAGGACCGGUAAGUAAUCGGGUUAUCGGGCUGGGCGCGCGAUUAUAAAAGCUUUUAGGAUGUUAGUGGCCGGAAAAUUCGAUGACCGUAAUAAGAUUACACGGCCCAUCCGUCCAUCGGCCGUAGGUAGAUAUACCGUCCGUGGCUUAUUAUUUUCUGCCAGGCCACCCCCUACCCGGUCCGAUACAAACGAAUUUUUCUCCACUUCGGUCUCGACCUCAUCCCCUCUUAUUACUUUUCGAGACCAUUUUCCGCCGGGUAAGAGUACUAAUUGGCGGAGCCGAGACGGGCCGGGCCAUAAAUUUUUCCAGCGGUGAAAGCCCAGAGUCGAACUUCGAAGUGGAAGACGGAGGUUUCCAACGAGCCUGUCCGGUGGGGAAAAAUAAGCUCGAGUCGAGUCGCCGGGUGAGUUUCCGGUCAACGGGCAAAUCCGCCCAGGUCAGACAGUUAAUAUUUUCCCGGGCUUUCCAUCAGAAUUUAAUUAAUUGAUUCGAAUGAUGUGGUGGAAAGCGUUAGGUCCCGGUUGGCCGGAGAAGCGUCUCCUUCCCUAGUCCCGGAGCUAUUGGCAGCCUUUCCACACUCGACCGUACACUCUUCCGGCACUCUCGGGCCUGGAAUUCUUCGGGACCGAUAUCGGCCCGCCCUUCCACUCGUCUACCGGUGGGUAGACGAGUGGAGUCUGUUUUUCUUAUCGAACCAGACUCCACUCGUCUACCCAGCCAGAGAUUAUAAGACGGAUAUUGACUAUCCACCCGGAUGGGUCGGUCAACAGUCCGACCCCGACCAACCGGCCGAUGAAUAUGGAAAUAGACCGUAAUAACGCGCCGUUGGGGCCCGUCCGACGGCCACCACUCGGAGACUAGAGAGUGGGUGAUCUCCGGAUGGCUCUUACCCGCGGCUAAGUGCCAUCCGGCAGUUAGCCGCGGGUAUACGAACGAGAGCUGAGAGGUAGGAGACGGUUCGUUGGUCCGCGCGUACCGAACCAAAUGUGUUUCGGCCGACCGAUCUUAGAUGUUAGCGGGAUAGCUUCCGUCGACGAUUUUUGUCGGCCGGGCACUAAAAUACGGCUGGGAAUGGAAUAAUUAGGAGGGGGAAUAUUGGUCGGCAAGACGGAUGGCCUUCCCACCCGACGGAAACGAUCGUUUUAUGAAGCGUCGCGAUUUUAGCGCCUCAUUAAAUUUUCCUAUUAGUGACGCUUUUAUUACCUCCUCCCGGCUUAUUUAUCGACCGCGCUUUCCCGGCCCGGGCCCGGUAGGCCCAUUAACCACUUCGCCUGUUUUUCCGCCCGUCGGUCCAGCCCUUUUCCGCAGCCUGGCCCGGAUCCCCGCUCUGGGCCGGUGUCGUUUUAUUCAGAUAGGUCUAAAGAACGAAAGGAUGGCUGUGGCCGUUAUCGACCAGUUUGUUUAUUUGGCUGAUAUUACUCCGGCGGUAAACAUUUUAAACGAAAUAUUUGACUUUUUCGUCUUUUAUUUGGCCACUCUUCGCCGCGGUCAAAAAUAUCAAUAGAUAAAUGCGUAACGCCGUCCGUGUACCGUAAAAAUCGGGGCGGUAGGUGGCGCCAUCUAUUAGUCAGAAAUUCUAUCCGGACCACGGUCGGCCACCGCUUCUCCCACCACCUUCGAGUUAAAGUAUCUCGGGCCCGGCCGGCCGCGGCCACUCGCGGACGGUAGGCCCGGUGGGCGAUUCUUUUACCGAGGUCGAGCGCCACGGCUCCACUUUAUCCGGGUGGCUACGGACGUUGGCCUAGGUCUGGACAGUUUAAAAUUCCGUGUCGGGGGCCGCUUCUAUCGUCCCUCCAAAAAACUACUGGUACGGCUUACCGCCCCAAAUACCGGAAGGAAGAAGACUUAAUAGAACACUGGCUGGUCUCACCACUAGACGCUUCUAAAUUGGUUUAUCGGAUUGACCGUUAAAGUUGGGCCCAUAGCGGCAAAAAACGGUGGGUCUACUGUGGGCCCGAUAACUGGAGAAUCUGGCCCGGGCCCUACCCGCCACUGUGGCGUCCGACUCGAUAGUCUUUAAGCCACCAGAUGAGAUAAAAGGCAGUUGCAAUUUCCGCCGCGGUUUCGGUUGUCCGCCCAGUUAGAAAGUUUCACAAAAAUUUACCGGGGCCUGGUAUCGGUAGUUGGCUGAAUUUACCUCCAUCUCCUUUGUAUAGGCGGUAGUCACGGGAUUGGAACUUGGAUGGCUGCGGUGGGCCGGUUGAAGGCGACUUUAUGAAUCAUAUUAACCACCGGUUAGGUGCCACCAGCGCCAGCCUGGAGGCCGGAUUAGCCCCCGGGCUAGCGCUGGUGGCACCUACUGUCUCUCCUCGGCCGCGCUCCUCCGUUGACGUUUUGGUGCGGGUACUGGUGUGGGCCAGUCUCCGUCGAUUAUUUAUGAAACGCGUCGACCCGUCCUCUUUCGGUUUAAUAGAAAUUGGCUAUUCGGCUGUGGAAUUUUUCGGAUCCCGAGGCCGGUGGCUAGCCGGAGACUUUCUCCCGUCGCGUCUAUUUUUUCCCAACUACCCCUUUCCCGAGAGGGGACUCUAUGGCCCAAUUCGGACGGAAAGUCGGCCGGAUUGUCCGCGUGGAAACGCUUCGGCUUUCCACUCUGGACCGGGUUGGAGUCUCGGGUCCCACCUCUU
rnacentral:lncRNA from 1 species